UACAGAGGGGGCAAGCGUUAUUCGGAAUUAUUGGGCGUAAAGGGCGCGUAGGCGGCCUGGCAAGUGGAAGGUGAAAUCCCUCGGCUUAACCGAGGAACUGCCCUCCAAACUGCUUGGCUUGAGUCCGGGAGAGGUGAGUGGAAUUCCUAGUGUAGAGGUGAAAUUCGUAGAUAUUAGGAAGAACACCAGUGGCGAAGGCGGCUCACUGGCCCGGUACUGACGCUGAGGCGCGAAAGCGUGGGGAGCAAACAGG
rnacentral:rRNA from 1 species